AACUCUUCUCAUUCACUUCAAGUGUACAUGUGGAUCCGUUGCUUCACUUUUCUGGUGUUGAUAGUAGAAAUCUGCAGCAGCCACUGUUGGUUGGACCUGAUGGAUGGCCAUGUCGAUAGGGAACUGGAGUGAUGGGGCGAUGACAGAAGAGAUGCAGGGUGCUUCAUUUGAAGACUUUUACUGUGGCGCACAGGCAGGGGGAGAAAUUAAAUAAUGUUCAAAAAGAAAGUAGAGGUAAACAACACGUUUCUGAGAUUACUGCAAAGAACAACCCGAGUCUCAUCACUGACAAGAAGAAACUGCACUUGAGAAUGAUAAAUGAGGUCUUCGGCACUGCCUUAGUUUUCACUGGUAUAGAAACAAUGUGAAUCUUUACGUAUGCGCAGCAUUUUCUGCUUCACAUCAGCACCUCCCGUGACUUCUGCGGGGAAGUCUCGCAUUUAUUCUGUGCUUUGUUUGCUUCAACAAUGAAAUGCUUGCUCAAGAAAUUCACACAUUUCACUUUGCGGCCCCUCAUUAUGAACACUGUCAACCGAACAAGACGCAAUAAAAAUCACAAACUAAAAACGUCCUGGUGUGCAAAUGAGCUUAUUAUAAUAAUAAUGGAAUGUUCUCAUUGCCAACGUUUACAAAAAUGAGCCAGAAAUACACCUCUGCCGGUAAAUGACGACAAAGAAAGAGAGAAAACACACACACACACGUGAAAAGCAGAAAAUCGCGUUUGUGAAAGUUAAACCAUGACACAGCACUGGCCUUGAACCACUGACUCACCCCCCG